rnacentral:rRNA from 1 species
GUGAGGAAUAUUGCGCAAUGGAGGCAACUCUGACGCAGCCAUGCCGCGUGCAGGAAGAAGGCGCUACGCGUUGUAAACUGCUUUUAACCGGGAAGAAACCCCAGGACGUGUCCUGGGUUGACGGUACCGGAGGAAUAAGCACCGGCUAACUUCGUGCCAGCAGCCGCGGUAAUACGAAGGGUGCAAGCGUUAUCCGGAUUCAUUGGGUUUAAAGGGUGCGUAGGCGGAGCGUUAAGUCAGUGGUGAAAUCCUGCAGCUUAACUGUAGACUUGCCAUUGAUACUGGCGCGCUUGAGUGCGCUUGAAGUGGGCGGAAUGUGCCGUGUAGCGGUGAAAUGCUUAGAUAUGGCACAGAACACCAAUUGCGAAGGCAGCUCACUAAGGCGAUACUGACGCUGAGGCACGAAAGCGUGGGGAUCGAACAGGAUUAGAUACCCUUGUAGUCC